rnacentral:rRNA from 1 species
UGUGGUCCGAUGAAUGUUGAAGCUCGUGGCGGAUAUUGUUAUUUUCUCACCUUCACAGAUGAUUUAAGCAGAUAUGGGUAUAUCUACUUAAUGAAACACAAGUCUGAAACAUUUGAAAAGUUCAAAGAAUUUCAGAGUGAAGUAGAAAAUCAUCGUAACAAGAAAAUAAAAUUCCUACAAUCUGAUCGUGGAGGAGAAUAUUUGAGUUACGAGUUUGGUUUACAUUUGAAACAAUGCGGAAUAGUUUCGCAACUCACGCCACCCGGAACACCACAACGAAAUGGUGUGUCCGAACGUCGUAAUCGUACAUUACUAGAUAUGGUGCGAUCUAUGAUGUCUCUUACUGAUUUACCACUAUCAUUCUGGGCUUAUGCUUUAGAGACGGCCGCAUUCACGUUAAAUAGGGCACCAUCAAAAUCCGUUGAGACGACACCUUAU